UAUUAGGUUGGUGCAAAAGUCGUUGCAGUUUUUGCAAUUACUUUUAAUGGCAAAAACUGCAAUUACUUUUGCACCAACAUACAUCGUUUAGCCCGAGAACUACUCACUCUGGGUCUCCUCUCCACUGAGGGCUGCACACAUGCCGGGAUGACCUGCCUGUGGAAAGGAGCUACAACUUCAGGUCUCCUGAGAGCUGUAGAGCCAGAUUACAAAUUACCCCACAUUUUCUUCUAAUGCAUGUGAUGGCAGCAGCGGCCAAAUAGAGUAGCUGCUGCAAAGGUGCUAGCUGCAGUGGGGUAUGCAUGACUGGGACGGCUAACUCCGCGGAGCUGGCAGGAGCUGGGAACAGGCGGGAGCUCCACCCCCUUCCAAGUGGGUGGGGCAUGAGCUUUGUGCUUCUGGGUGCAACUGCAGCUGCCCAGCCACGACUGCGGACCCAGGCAUCCCUGUGGUCUUGGGGGCCCAGGAAGUCUCCCUGCCCCCGCAGGCUCAGAAGGGCCUCCUCCUGCUGCCUGGCCUCUCUCCACUCCCAGCAUCCACUCUGAUUUUGGAGGAAAGUUGUGGCCGAGCUCGGGCUCUGUCACGACCCGGCUGGGUGUGCGCACACUCAAGGCAGCACUGACAUGCCAGCCCCUUGCCGCCUCGGCCCCACUCCGUAAUUGGGACACUGACAAACAUGGGAGGGAGGUCAAGAGGGGGCUGAGGGCGGCUUUGUGUGAGCCUGCAGGCACCCCUUGGCACGAACAGCCUGGGCACCAUGAAUGGCAGCAGUAGGCAGACAGGCUCCUGGGCAGAAAGGGGCACGUCCCUGGUGAAACCCCACCUUCAAGCCAGGGAGGGCCUGAAGCCUGGGGGCUGGGCUGCCAGUUGCACAGACCAGAGUGAGAACUUAUGGUGCUUUUUCUGGGCCCGCCCAUGGCCACCCGUAGACCAAUCAGCACACUCUUCCUCCCCUGUGAAACCCAUAAAAACCCUCAGAGUCACCCAGAAUUGGACAGAUGACAAGACAACCGGACUGCAGGGAGGAGCUACCCAUUCAAGGUCUCCUCUCCAAUGAGGGUUGCAGAGAUGUUGGGGCAAUUUGCCUGCAGAUAGGAGCUACCCACUUGGGAUCUCCUCUCUGCCGAGGACUACACACUUGAUGGGAUGACCUGCUUGUGGAGAAGAGCUACCCACUGUGGGUCUCCUCUCAGCUGAGGGUUGCACAGAUGCCCAGACCACAUGCCUGUGGAAAGGGGAUACCCACUUUGGGUCUCCUGAGAGCUGUACUGCCACUCAAUAAAGCACUGCUUCACCUUGCUCACCCUCCAGUUGUCUGCAUACCUCAUUUUUCCUGGAUAUGGGACAAGAACUUGGGACCAGACAGACAAAUGGCAGGACUAAAAGAGCUGUAACACAAACAGGGCUGUAACCCCCACCCCAACACCACUGGCCACAUUGUGGGUGACGAGAAGGAAAGAAGUAGAGAAGAGCUGCAGUUCUUUGGGGAUUGCAAACCUAGGAGCUCCCUGAGCCAGGGCUGUGAAACCUUCUUUAGGGCUCUGCAUUUCCGGGCAUCAUCUCCAAGCUUCCAGGUGCCACCGCAUUCCCUGGUUCCUGAGGCAGAAGCUACUUGUGAUACACUUGGUCUAGCUACAGCCUUGCAGGGAGCCGGAGCCUGUGCCAGUGCCUGGAGCUGCCCACCCCACCACAGCCAGCGUGCCUGGCCGUGCGCGGUGGCCGGACCCCACUUUUGCUUCUUCACACACCCCUCACCACUCUGCGCUUGGCCCAACCUUGGCAGGCAUGGGAUCCGGGUGGUAGCGAAAGCCGAGUGCAGCCUGUCAGGCCCACUGGGUGGAACAGGCUCAGCAGGCCCAAGCAAAACUUGGGCAAAGGUGCCACUGGCCAUAGAGGUUGCUGGCUGGUGAAGCAACACCCUAAGGAACCUGGGAAACAUGUAUGGCUACAUUUAUAUUUUACACUCAGAAUUCUAAUUCAUUUGGAUUUUUUUUUUUUUCUGUGUAGAGGGAAAAGUGUGAAUCCAUUUUUAUCAUUAUCUAAAUGACUGUUCAGUUGUUCCAACAUGCUUUGAUAAAAUGUCCAUAUUUGUCUCUGUGAUUUGAAAUGACUACCUUUAUCGUGUAGUAAAUUUUACUAUGUUCUUG
rnacentral:lncRNA from 1 species